rnacentral:misc_RNA from 1 species
GAUGAAGAACGCAGCGAAAUGCGAUAAGUAAUGUGAAUUGCAGAAUUCAGUGAAUCAUCGAAUCUUUGAACGCACAUUGCGCCCGCCAGUAUUCUGGCGGGCAUGCCUGUCCGAGCGUCAUUUCAACCCUCGAACCCCUCCGGGGGGUCGGCGUUGGGGAUCGGCCCUGCCUUUGGCGGUGGCCGUCUCCGAAAUACAGUGGCGGUCUCGCCACAGCCUCUCCUGCGCAGUAGUUUGCACACUCGCAUCGGGAGCGCGGCGCGUCCACAGCCGUUAAACACCCAACUUCUGAAAUGUUGACCUCGGAUCAGGUAGGAAUACCCGCUGAACUUAAGCAUAUCAAUAAGCGGAGGA